rnacentral:rRNA from 1 species
UGGGGAAUAUUGCGCAAUGGGGGGAACCCUGACGCAGCGACGCCGCGUGAGUGAAGAAGGCUUUCGGGUCGUAAAGCUCUUAUCUGCGGGAAGAAGAGACGGUACCGCAGGAGAAAGCCCCGGCUAACUACGUGCCAGCAGCCGCGGUAAUACGUAGGGGGCAAGCGUUGUCCGGAGUAACUGGGCGUAAAGGGCGCGUAGGCGGAAUAAUAAGUCAGUUGUGAAAGAUAUGGGCUCAACUCAUAGAACGCAUCUGAAACUGUUAAAUCUGGAGUAUAGGAGAGGGAAACGGAAUUCCUGGUGUAGCGGUGAAAUGCGUAGAGAUCAGGAAGAACAUCAGUGGCGAAGGCGGUUUCCUGGCCUAAAACUGACGCUGAAGCGCGAAAGCAUGGGUAGCGAACAGGAUUAGAUACCCUGGUAGUCCACGCUGUAAACGAUGUCGAUUUUGGAGGUUGUGCCCUUGAGGCGUGGCUUCCGGAGCUAACGCGUUAAAUCGACCGCCUGGGGAGUACGGCCGCAAGGUUAAAAC